rnacentral:misc_RNA from 1 species
AAAAAAGUGCCUCCAAAAUGGCUAAGAUUCUAUGAGUAUGAUGAAUUGCAGAGUCAAAGCUACUUUGGAACUCACUAAUAGAUCCAUUGGAUCCAUUUAAUUUUACAGGCUUGGCCACAGUCUGCACAUUUUUAGAACUUGAAUGAUUACUGCCCCUUGAAACAAAAGGGAACAACUGAAGCUCGCAGGCGAGAGCACAUACAGCAGCAAGCACAUAAGAAUCAAAUGCAGCAACAGGACCUUGUUUUUUCAAUUUCCUAGAUUUCAUGUUGCUUUGCAUUUCAGAUGUUAGUUGUGAGUUCUUAUUGCUGUCAUCUGGUAGAAAACUUUCGUCAUCUCUUGGUCUCUUACUCCCUUUGAAUUGAGCUUCAUGACUAACACACACAGUUAACACAACAAAUAGUAAGCGUGAAGCAAGCUCUACAGAAGCACAUGAUUCUAAGAAGAGGGAAUGGACCAUUGUGCGAAGCUCUGCCACAGCAAGAUUUUUGGAGGCAGAUGCCAAGCCAGAAAUAUAUCUAGCCUUUCUGG